GCGAUCAUACCAGCACUAAUGUGUCGGAUCCCAUCAGAACUCCGUAGUUAAGCGUGCUUGGGCGAGAGUAGUACUAGGAUGGGUGACCCCCUGGGAAGUCCUCGUGUUGCACCUC
rnacentral:rRNA from 1 species